GUCAAACUCUAAACCCAUCUGAGUGGAGAAGAUGGAGCCGGCUAAACGUUGUCAGAGACUGAUGGGAACUAACAACAGCACUACACCACCAAGCCUACCACACUCACACGUCCUCUCUGACAGCUUACCGACAACUCUAAAACUAACGCUGCCAUCGGUGUCAGGAGCUGACACAACAUUCAGCUUCAGCACACGUUCUCUCAAACAUUUCACACACUGCUUUGUGUGUUUACUCCUUCAAACCCAGCAGACCUGCCGAGGGCUUCAAACUCCAACCUUCUCAACACCGAGGCAGCCACCUGACCAGCAGGUUUUAGAAGAUGGAACACAGGGAGGACAGCAGUUUACACUCUGCUCUAUCACUACAUAGUCGGAUUAUAGUUCUUCAGCAGAAACAACACAACACAGCCUGGCUCUAACGUACACAAGGUAACAGUUCUGCCACUGGAAAUAUCUCUACCACAAGCUCCUGCAAACACUUAACCACUGACCUUGAGAUUCUGGACUCUGUGUGACCUGACCCUUUCAAAUCAACUCAAUCCGUCAACAUUACAGCCAGCAGCUGUUAAUCCGGAGAGAAAGCAUGUCCUACCUCAGAGCUUCAGCUCAGAGAAGAUGUGUAGAAGCUUCCUCUUCUUCCCAGGCUGCAAAUCUGCAGCUGUGAGACAAAUAAAAGCACCGAUCGUUCCGGUAAAUGUGACCGCGGGGGUCGUUUGUUUAUUCGCCCCCAAACAGCCAAAGUACCAACUGUACAGACGUUAGCAUAAACUAGCUGUGAGUUAGCAACGGUACACAGGAACCGUGUUUGUGUAUCCGGUCUCGGUAUGGCGAGUGGAUAGUGCCCCGGAUGAUGAUUGGCUAAGGAAGGAGACUGCUGUGUGUUUGGCGUUCAGUCCAGCCUCUGACUGACCUCAUAACGUCCUCCAUUCGUCUUUAUGGAGAGGAUUCAUAAUCCAUAAAUUAAUCUGCUCAAGUUGCUACAUGUUCAGAGGUCGCAGAGUCGUCUUCCGGUGGGCAGCACAGGUGUAGAGGCUGCCUGGUCUGAGUGCGAGAGGUGACCGACAGGUUUCUGUCUGUGGUAGCACAGCUGCUCUCCAGCAAAGGGUUCUUCUACCUCAUUACUAUAGCAGAUAAUGAUCCAGAGGAGAUUAUCCGUUUACUGGACAUGUGGUUUGAGUGGAGAGUCAUGCUUAUCCUCCAUAGACCAGAGCUGGAAAAGAGAGGCUGUUCAUCCUGCUUCCAUAGGAGCUAACAAACAUGGAACUGUCACUGAUAAAUCUGCUGAAAGGAUUACAGGAAUUGAUGAGAAGAAAUGUUUUCAGGAUAUCAUUUUUUUUGGACUGACUGGACAAUAUUGUCUGCAAGGACACAUGUUUACUGCAGAAUCCUCAGACGUCUGUUGUGAAGAACUUUCUUAUUAAAGCUCUGCAGAACAAAGACACUUUUCUUUGCAAGAAAUUGGUGAAAUUGUAAGUUAAUGGGUCCAGACUAUAAACAGCCACAUUCAACAUGUUUCAUUUAGAUUAGUAGAACACUUGGCAAUGUGUGAUGCUGAACUUCAAUCAGUCUAACUUUUGACACAUUUCAUUUGACCCCCUUUUGGUCCCCUAAUCAUUUUCCCACAGUCCACAAUUCCACCUGAUUGAAGUUGUUUUUGACUCUCAGCAUGUCACACAUGUUUAGUACACAGACGUCUCAUCACACAGUAGGAGUUUACCUGCAUGUGAAGCAGCUCAGUGCUGUUGAGUUCCUGUGGUUGAUUCGGCAGCUUGGUGGUUGACGCUCUCUCCCUCUCUUUGUCUCUGCACCUCCUGUUAACAGUGUAUCCUGUCAUGCAGCUGUAAACUCUGUUUUCCAUGUUGAAGUACAAACCCAGCCGAGUUUUCAUUUGUAAAGAUUGCAAUGAAGUCAACUUCUACACACAACCAAUGUUGGAGUAAAGAUCGUAUUUUGUUACUGACAAUAAACACUUUCUAAUCAGUA